rnacentral:sRNA from 1 species
GCUGGGCAUGGUGGCACAUGCCUGUAAUCCCAGCAGCUCUGGGAGGCUGAGGUAGGAGAAGUUUAAGUUCAAAGCCAGCCUCAG